rnacentral:lncRNA from 1 species
GGGAGGGCGCUGUGCAGGACGCCGACACGAAAAGAUGAAGAGUUCAAUCCGUGCUGUCUGAACUCACAGUGUAGCGGGCGAGAUAGACGGGAAGAUCGGUAGGGUGGGAGAUGCCGGAAAGGCUUCCCGUGAAACUGGAUAAGAAAUCAAAAAUCUGGUGAAAUUGCCGGCAGGAGGGAGUUAAGGACAUUCCAGGCAGAGGCAAGAUUCCUAAGAUGAGGACACAGCAUCCUGGGCCACUGUCACUAAUACAAAUUUGCCUCUGGAGGGACUCUACGGAAGAUAAUUCCCCUGAAAUUUGGAGAGUUGAAUUAAGCUAGGACUGAUUCUGGCUGGAAUUUGUGGUGGCUACGUACCCUAGAGGGCCUCAAGGAAACCCACGGUUCAAGACAACCCUGACAGAUUCUGGAGUCUAGAACAGAAAUGGAUUUGAACAUGGGCAAGGCCAACCACCCAGUUCACGGCCUGUGUACAGCAAAGAUUACAUUACAGCCUGAGAGCUAAGCCUGGAAGCUCUUUCAUCCAUCCGUUUGUCCAUCUAUCCAUCCAUCUGCUCAUCCAUCCCUCCAUCUGCUCAACAAAUGUUAGAGAAUCAAUCCUUGUGUCAGAUACUGGGGCUGCCCUCAAGGAGCUUUUGUAGAGUUCAGGGUACAGCCAGGUGGGGGAGACAGAUCACUAUAAAAACCUACCACUAUAAUCCAAAGGACAAGAGCAAAAAUAGUAAAGAGGAGAGAAGACCCAAAUUUGCCUGGUGGGUCAGAGACGGCUUUCUAGAAGAGGUAAAAAAUCUUCGGGGCUAUCACUUCACCUUGCCUGGUGGAUAAAGGGAGGACUUUCCAGAUACAGUGGACAGAAUGUGCAGAGGCAGGAGCCAUGAGUGGCAGAGGCAGGGGAGGGACUGCAGAGACAGGUUGGAGCCAAAGCACGAUGGCACUGGAGCCAUAGCCAAAGGAACAAACUGUGAGACCUGGGACUUGAAUUUGGAGGUGGUGAAAAGUGACAAGGUCUUCACAGAAGAGUGAUUUUUUCAACUUAGGGAAGGCUGACCCCAGACCAAUGCUGCCAAAGUGUGGUCUGUGGGCUGUUAGCAGUUCAUGACGAUGUAAGUACAGGAAUUGAGAGUAAGCAUUUAGAACACCUACAGCACUGUGAUAGUCAUUUUACUUUUUAA